GAAGUGAUCCGCGCGGUCUCAAACUAACUUGAUACUGAAACCGGGCGCCUGUCAAAAGUGUCAGCGAGUGAAAUAAACAGCCGGUCGACGUUUCAAUCCACCAGAUAACAUUAUUCGCUAGAUCUGGAAUUAUUUUGGACGGAUGUUCCUCUACGUAUCGACCACCGCGUCCACAUUUGUCGCGUGUUGUGAAGAUCCAGUGAGCGGUGGCUGUGUCAGGCGCCCGGCUGCAGGCGGCCCCCUCAAUGGUUUCUCCCACCAUGAAGGCUCUGGUGGAUGCUGUGUGGGCGGUAUGGAGCAUCGGGGCCUCCAUCUAUGACUACAUCCACACUAGCGCCAUGGAGGAGCGUAUACACACGCUGGAGAAGGUUACCAGCAUCCACCAGUGUGCCAUUGGGCUGCUGUCGGCGGCCAUCUUGGUGCUCUUCUCUUACAUCUUCGUCAAGAAGAUUUGAGAGUGAAGCAGACUAUGAGGAUUCAAAUUAUGUUGCAAGGCUGAACAACUCCUGCUGAUUAAAGAACAUGCAACCUGCACUUCUUCAAACCGCACUCAGAGGUGUCCAGUCUGCAGGAGUGUGUAUUUGGAGGUGAACCUCUCCACGCUUUCGCCCUCCAGAAACUUCAUGGCCCUCCAGUGGAUCUUGCCACAAUUCUCUGGCUGCCCGAGGGGUCCCAUCUCCUCCUGGAUGUACUCCAGCCACAGAUCUUGACAAUCGCACAGGUCAACAUGGAAAAAGAAUGCUCAGAUCAACUCAAAAUUAGAAACUAUAGUGGUACUUCAGCGUAUGAGCACUUCCCGUUAAGAGUUAGUUACGAGUGCCAACUAUGGUGAAAGCAAACUUCACAACAAACAGAAGUUUUGUGAUAAUGAACAAUUCUUCCAAAAAGAUGCAAUGUGCUUGCAUCAAGCUGUUUAUUGCCACUCACAGUUGAAUUUUACUGUCAAACUAAACAUAAAACAAAUAGAAUGACAAGUUGUGUAUUUAAUCGAAGCACAUUAACUUGUCUUAUAAAAGUUUGCUUAAUGCUAGCACUCAAUGCAAAACGCCAUACUGGCUAUUAUUGUGGCACUUCUAAUACUUUAAACAACUUGUAUUUGAUCGCAAGCAGACAGAUCGUGCACCAAUGGUCACAGGCACAUAUUCUUUAUCCUCUAGGAAAAACAACUGAUUUCAUUGCACUUUCGUUGAGACUGUCUUCCGUUUCAACCGACAUCAAGUUCCGUAUGCCUGUUAUAUACUGCCCCCUGGUGGCCAACAUGAACAAACCAAAAUGAGUAGCAUACUGCAUAUUGAUUUGUCACGAUGCGCAUAUUCAUUACAUUCUAUUCAUGGACAUUAUUACUAUGAUUUGACAGAGAAAAAUAGGAUAUGCGACAAGAUAGCACACAACCCGUAAAAACGGUCAAAAAUCUCGACGCUUCUGCUGAUUCACACACUUGCCCCUCAAUACUUGGAGCUUCCUAUUUUGCCCCUUUUUUUGCGGACUAUGCUCCACACUUUCAGUUCAAAAAUAGAAAAAAUAUUGUAAUAUCGCUCCAACAAGUAUGCUUCCAUCUCUGUUGGAACAAAUUGGGGAAGGAUGUUUUGUGCUCCACUGAAUAAGUCCUUUCAGGGACAGUGGUUACUACAGUGGACACCUUAUCAUGUUAUCAGGUUACCGGUUAUUAUUAUUUGUGCAUGAAAAGGUUAAAUAGGUUAAAAAAAAGGGUGUGGAAGCCAACAUCGCAGGGACCAACUCCUUGUUUUCUCACAUUUUCACUUUCUGUUUGUGUAAUAGCCACAGGUCCCAAUUUUUUUUUCAUCCAUGGCAUCCCCCUGGUUUGCUUAUUAACCAUUAUCUGUUUAAAUAACAAUUUUAAAUAAUGUGAUAAUGACAUCUUGAAAAUAAAUGGUUGGACUGACAGUACAGUGCCUGAUGGACUAUUUGACCCAAAGGCAUCUCACCUUCAUCAGAGGAGCCGAACUCUUGCAGGACCCUCUCGUAGUAGUCCCUCAGAUUGUCCAUCUUUGGGGUCUCCUGCAUUAACGACGUCAUGUUAACUCAAAUCUCAAAACCUCUGCCUUUUUUUUCACCCUCCCAGCAUUUAGGCCUACUUCACUACUGUAUGUUAAUGUUGGUUAUAAUGGUGGAACUUGGGAGAGCCACAUUUUUUUAGGUUGUACUUGGUGUAAAAUGUUUGAGAACCAUCUGAAGAAUGACUGACUCAAGUGUGUUUUGCUUUUUGUGAUGUCUGGAUACAAGGGCACCGGUGAUGGCAAAAAUCAGAAAUGAAAGUUUUGUACCAUAGUAUAUGAGCAAUCAAGUUCCUGAAAUAUCAAGUCAUCACUCCUCAUGAUGUUUCCAUCAGGCCUUCCUUUCCAAAGGGUGAGUGGUUUUACUUUAUUUUUGUUUUGUUCUACACCAAUGAAGUUAUUGUUACACUUGUAUAAUAGUUAAGAAACGUUACCAUGUCAUUUAAAAAAAUACCAUCGAUCAUUGUUAAAGGUUUUAUGAUGCUGACAGUUAAACCCUGAACAAAUGUAUUGAUUUUACCUCAUUUCCUGGCCAAAAUUGUUUGGAAAUGAACCAGCAAUGAGAUGGAUUUUGGGGUUGCCAGGCUUUAAAGCUCACUUUCUAAAUUAUAUGACAGUAUUUAAUGCACUCACUUGUUCUUUUUCAAUCUGUAUCAUUUUGGUGAAGAACGUUUUGGAUAGCGGUCGGUUCUCCUGUAAACUAAAACACACACACGUUAUUCCGCCCUUUAUAGUCUUCAAUUUACACAAUUGCGAAGCGCACUUAACUUACCUUGUGAAAGUCUUUCUCGCUUUCUUGUAUCCCCCGGUGGUGUAUGACCAAUCAACGUAGCUUUCUUUCAUCUCCAUGGCAACUGCGGGCACCGCAGACGAAAGACCUCUCUGAGAACAAGCGGGGAAGAACAAAGUGUCCCACAAAAGUAUUAUCAUCAUCGUCAUUGCAUGAGCGCUAAUGACUGCUCAGUGUGGAUCGCCAUGUCUGGUGGAUUUGAUUUGAACCUUGAAAAUGGCCUCCGUCUCCUCUGGAUUCUGGUUGGCGAUGCUCCACUGUAUCUGCAGCCGCCAAAUUGGGUCAUGGCGGAGCUGGAGUCGAUCCCGGCAAACUACAUCCCAGGCAAGUCAAGCCCACGCCAGAUGCUUAAAAGUCAGCUAUGUGAAGCACUCUAGCAGCAGUUAUCUAGAACCAAAUUAUGGAUAAUAAAUCUGAUUUUGUUGAUUGUAAUACUUUAUUGCUUUCUAUUUAUGACUUAGAAGCGAACGUGGUUAUUAUCAUAGCGUGUAUUUCUCAUAGUUUUACGUUGAGUUUGACAGUGGAGGCAUUUCAAGAUGCCUGGUGGUUUAAUGCCUUCUCAAGUUGCACCAAGUGUUGUAAUCUUCCUCACGCUGUUUCUCCUCACGGCUCAAGUCUCAUCAAAAGCCGGGCUUAAGAAGAAUAAAUUAUUUUCUUGACUAUAUGAGUUUGUCUACGGUGGUCAAGUUUUAAUAUAGUUCAUAAUAAGUUUCAUUCCUUCUGAGAAUUCAUUUUUUUAGGGUUGGUUCAUCUCGCCUACUGUUUUUCACAAGGACUAAGGGGAAAGUCAAAAGGAUGUAGUGGCGGUUAGUUUGAGCGAGG